AUACGGAGGAUCCGAGCGUUAUCCGGAUUUAUUGGGUUUAAAGGGAGCGUAGGCGGGAUAUCAAGUCAGCUGUGAAAUGUAGAUGCUCAACAUCUGCACUGCAGUUGAUACUGGAUAUCUUGAGUACAGUUGAGGUAGGCGGAAUUCGUGGUGUAGCGGUGAAAUGCUUAGAUAUCACGAAGAACUCCGAUUGCGAAGGCAGCUUACUAAGCUGUAACUGACAUUGAGGCUCGAAAGUGUGGGUAUC
rnacentral:rRNA from 1 species